UCCAAAGCAGGCUCUGCGCAGACAGCAGCAAGCCUUAUGUGGGGCUUGAACUCGCAAACUGUGAGAUCAUGAUCUGAGCUGAAGUCGGACCUUCCACUGACUGAGCCAUCCAGGUGCCCCGGGAUGAAUUUUUAGAAGCAUCAUUUCUGGGUCAAAGGGAAAAGUUGAGUCCAUUUGCCUUCAGGCUGCCUGUACUUGUAAGUCCACAAUAUGCCAUCAAUGGGGGUCACCAAUAACUUGGACACUGCAGAGGGUUUUAGCUGAGCCUUGUGCACCGCAUGUGGAGAGCUCUGAGGCAUCUGUGUGGAAUGCUGUCCACAGGGAAGAAGUCUGUAAAAAAGAAUACGAAAGUUUAAGGACUGAAAACACUCACCAGCAUAUUUGUGCUGUUGGCCUUCACCUGCCAAGGCUGAGCGAGCAUCUUGGUCCAGCCACGACCCACCUGCCCUCCUCUACCCACCAUCCUCCUGGAGCUCCUGUUGCAGCUGAGGCCUGGGGAGAACAAGGCUGGUUCUAACCCUCUGAAGAAAGUCCCCAGCUCCGAUUAGCCCCAGAAAGUCCAUCAAAAUUCUUACCAGAGUCCUAAAAAGAAGGGGAGGAGCAGAUUCCUCUGGGUGGUAGACUUGGAUCAGCCCUGUAUCCUUCUGCCUGCUGGAAGCUGUGUGUUGCCAAGGAGCAACUUUUCCCUGGAGCACUUCCCUGUCUAGAUCUCCAAGUCCUGAGCCCAGAGUCUGAGACCUGCCACUUCUGCAGAAAGGAAACCACUUAUUGGUUCUCAUCAGAAGAAAAAAAAUUCAAAAGAUUCCAUAGUGUCUACCUGAGGUCCAGAAUAGAAGGAACUUGUGCUCACUUCCAGAGAAGAAGAUCAAAUGCACAUUUAUGUGUUGUUAUUUCUUGAACAAAGGACAUCAUGAUCACUUAUGUGGCUACAUACAUCUACAAUCCAUCUGUGGCGAAGGCAUAAAGACUCCAUUUCUGUCAACUUCGGAGCCUGUUCUCAUUCUUUGCUUGCUCUACCACUAAUGCCAAUUACUUGGGUCUCAUCAAACACACCAACGAAGACCUCUACACCACUCCGUGAAGGCUGCAUGGAAGGUUGGGGGCCUGAGAGCCCUCUGCAGUGUCCUCAAACCCCUCCUGUCUCUUCUGGUGAAGGUGAUCACCAGGAUGAUGCUCCACAUUGCCUGUGUGGGUCUGGCCUGAGCCCCAUCUGUAAAACAGGAUACAAAUGUCUGUCCCAGCAUUGAUUCCUUAAGGUGCUGUGCCUCAUCCAUGAUAGUUCCUGUUCAAUCACAAUGUGAUUAUGGCAUCUUGGAAAGUUCCAUUCUGAAAGGCAAUGAGCGUACCUCAAUUUUAAGCCUGUCAUUUAUCAUUUUUUUCUUCUUUCUUUCCUUCCUUCCUUCCUUCCUUCCUUCCUUCCUUCCUUCC